GCAGUCGAACGGCAGCGCGGGGCAACCUGGCGGCGAGUGGCGAACGGGUGAGUAAUAUAUCGGAACGUACCCAGGAGUGGGGGAUAACGUAGCGAAAGUUACGCUAAUACCGCAUACGAUCUAUGGAUGAAAGCGGGGGAUCGCAAGACCUCGUGCUCAUGGAGCGGCCGAUAUCUGAUUAGCUAGUUGGUAGGGUAAAGGCCUACCAAGGCGACGAUCAGUAGCUGGUCUGAGAGGACGACCAGCCACACUGGAACUGAGACACGGUCCAGACUCCUACGGGAGGCAGCAGUGGGGAAUUUUGGACAAUGGGCGCAAGCCUGAUCCAGCAAUGCCGCGUGAGUGAAGAAGGCCUUCGGGUUGUAAAGCUCUUUUGUCAGGGAAGAAACGGUGGGGGCUAAUAUCCUUCGCUAAUGACGGUACCUGAAGAAUAAGCACCGGCUAACUACGUGCCAGCAGCCGCGGUAAUACGUAGGGUGCAAGCGUUAAUCGGAAUUACUGGGCGUAAAGCGUGCGCAGGCGGUUUUGUAAGUCUGACGUGAAAGCCCCGGGCUCAACCUGGGAAUUGCGUUGGAGACUGCAAGGCUUGAAUCUGGCAGAGGGGGGUAGAAUUCCACGUGUAGCAGUGAAAUGCGUAGAGAUGUGGAGGAACACCGAUGGCGAAGACAGCCCCCUGGGUCAAGAUUGACGCUCAUGCACGAAAGCGUGGGGAGCAAACAGGAUUAGAUACCCUGGUAGUCCACGCCCUAAACGAUGUCUACUAGUUGUCGGGUCUUAAUUGACUUGGUAACGCAGCUAACGCGUGAAGUAGACCGCCUGGGGAGUACGGUCGCAAGAUUAAAACUCA
rnacentral:rRNA from 1 species